rnacentral:lncRNA from 1 species
AUCAUAGGUAUAUGAAAGAGGUUUUUGAUGGACAUCUUGCAAACUAAGAAAAACUCAAAUUGUUCUUUAUAAUAUACGGAAUUUACAGAAUCGUCUGUAUUGUGAUAUACUGUGGUAUCACGUUCGGAAGUGAUAAAAGCGAAAUAAAUCGUCGUCUGAUCACUUGUGAUCUGGCGCUCAACCUAGAAGCACGUUACUCUUAUUUUUACUCCCCAAACCCGAAAUUGUUCCUUCGUGAGUUAACUUAAACUACUAUAAAAACUUAAAAGUUGGCGACGAGAAUAAAAAGUUUUUGUGCAAGUGGAUAAUUACGGCAGAAUUACGCGAGUGCAAGUGACGAAAAUUAGAGGGAUAAUCGUACGAAGCAACCUAUAGAAGCUGGCUUUUUCGACGCAUGCACACUAUUCUUAAUUGUUGAGAACGCCAUUUCAUUGGCGUCGAUUUCAGAGAACAAAGGCAGUUGUUCAAUAGCAUAUUAUACAAUAGCCUUUGAUCUUUCUUUAAAGCGACUUAGAAUUGAAGAAGUUGUGAGAUUAUUAGCGUUUCUUAUCAAAAGUGCCUUCCUUUCUAUUUUUAUUCAAGGUUUUCGUGCAUCAGAGCACCCUUGCUCGAACCAGCGUCGUUCUAUCCGGCCAGCUACUAGAGGCUGAAGUCCAGUUGACACGUGGUCGGCAUCCGCUGAAAACGCUGUACUUCAUACCUACACGGAGAAAAAACGCCCUAGUUUGAAACAACCAACAUGUUUGUUGAAUUUCAAACUGCAAAUUUUGUUAUUUUAAAUCCAAAAUUUGUUGUUCCAAAUUCAUUGUUUUGUUUAAAACUAAUUUGUUUAUUAGGUUGUUUCAAUAUGAAAUCUUGUGUCGUUAUAAUGUGAAUAAUUGUUGUUUCAAACUAAGCUUUUAGGUUGUUUCUACAAACGGCUGGUUUGAUUUUACUAAAAAUUAGGUUAUUUGUUUCUCUAGGUGUCAAAAUAGAAUAAUGGGUUGGUUCGACCAAAAUUGUACGUUGAAUCAAACUAAGAUUUUAUUUGGAUUAGAAACAACCAAAAUUUCAGUUUGAAACUAACCAACUUCAUGUGUUGUUUCUACGAAAGCAAAACUGGUCAACUCAAAUAUGUUAAGUAACUGCAAUUUGUUCCCAGUGAUAAGCAUUUCAACUGGAGUUGCUUGUGAAGAUCCUAUAACGAACGAGAAAUGCUGCGGCUAACCCUUCAUUUUUCUGUUGAAUUCCGAAGCAGAAUGAUUGGAGAAAGUAUGCGUCAUGGCAGAAAAUUUCCAGAAGAUAAGGGCGUGCAGUUUUCGAAAGCAAGAGCCUGGUGUUUCAGGAAUUAUGAUAUGUAAUAAUUAUCUUUGAAGACAUCUACUUUACGAAACCUAAAUGAAUAAUAUAAUAUACCUCAUAAAAUA